rnacentral:tRNA from 1 species
UCCUGUGUGGCUCAGUUGGUAGAGCAUGGUGUUUGCAACGCCAGGAUUGUGGGUUUGAUUCCCACGCGGGAC